CGUGAAGCUGAGGCUGCGGCCGCCCCGGGAGCUCAUCAAGGCCCCUGUGCAGGCCGAGCUUGUUUCCCUGCUGGACAUGCCUGGAGGCCCUAAAGGGUCUCUUCUGGACCACCAAUUACUGGGAGGUGUUUGCUCACCUCAAGCUACUGAGGGGCUGGGAGCUCUUUGAGCACCUGGAAACCUACACCGAAGGGGUGACCCUCCUGGCCAGGGCCAUGGCCCUUUAUGACUGUGAGGUCAAAGCGGUCUUGGGGCAGGCAGUCAUCUUCCUGAAGAGCCCUGAAGAACGGGACAACAUCGUUGCCAUCCUCAUCCUCACAGAGGUCAGCCCCUUCC